UAUGAGGGGUGUUUUCAAGUUCUCUAGAUACACAGUUUUCAUCAGUGUCUUUGGCUGUCCUCAUUGGAGCCCUUUGGACUCUGCACCACUCCUAUUCACAUGAUGAUCUCACAUUCCUCCUGGAGACAAAAAUGUGUGCUCAUGCAGCCAGAGAGUGGAAACUUACUGAUUGUACAGAGCUUGGCAGGAGCUCCUGUUCCAGCCUUCUGACAAGAGCAGGGACAGGCCGCGUUUCUGUACACAUUGUUUCCUGAUGGAGCAUCAGGUCUGGAUGCCAAAUGAGGCUGUACCUACUGGCUUUGAUGCAAAGCAGUGUUAGUGCCUACAGCCUAAGGGGACUGACAUUCCUGUUCCAUAUGACUUCUUUGCCUCUCUGGUGACAAAGAAUAGUAUGAAAAAUAUCUCUAUGUCAACACCAGCUUCUCUGUGUGUGUGUCCAUAAAGUAUUCCAAGGCUUUUCCCAAGUUCACCUUUUGGACAGCGGUGUGGGACAUACAAGUGCCCUUGAUUUAAAUUGAAGAACAUUGAUUUAAAUGGAAGAACAGGGACUCAGGAGGAAACAGCCACCACUUUUCAUGUCUUGCUGUUUUGAUGUGCAUCAGAGAAUGGAGCAAUAAGGAAGCUGGAAGUGAUGUUGUCCUUGCUGAAGACUAUUUUUCCAGUUUUAGAUGUGGACAUCUUGGAGUGAAGAAACAGAAAAAGCAAUCCUCCAUGGUGUGCAAAAUCACUGUCUCCCAUGCAGUGUGCUUCCUCCAGGGGUUUUACAAGGGAGUGUUUAUGUUUACACACUUGCCAUAACCUCCUUAGGCAAAUGAAACCUGAAGUGUCCUGUGAGGUUUCUUACUUGUGUCCUUUUUUUUAUUUUCACAAUCUCAUAGGAGACUUUGAAACUAGACUUUAAUUGAAUUUUUUGGACGCUUUUUCUGAUGAAGUUGCAAAUAUUAAAAAGAAAAAAAAUC
rnacentral:lncRNA from 1 species